UAGAGACGGGGUUUCACCAUGAUGUCUAGGCUGGUCUCGAACUCCUGACUUCAAGUGAUCCACCAGCCUCAGCCUCCCAAAGUGCUGGGAUUACAGACUCCAAACAAUAAACAGAACCCACAACAUUAA